AGCGAACGUUUGCGGCGGGCCUAACACAUGCAAGUCGAACGAGAACCACUUCGGUGGGGACAGUGGCGCACGGGUGCGUAACACGUGGGUAAUCAACCCCUCAGUUCGGGACAACCGGAAGAAAUUCCGGCUAAUACCGGAUACAGCCCAGAGGACCCCGGUCUUCUGGGCAAAAGACCCUCAAGGGUUGCUGAAGGACGAGCCCGCGGCCCAUCAGCUUGUUGGUGAGGUAAAAGCUCACCAAGGCUAAGACGGGUAGCUGGUCUGAGAGGAUGAUCAGCCACACUGGAACUGAGACACGGUCCAG
rnacentral:rRNA from 1 species